AGUUAGCCAUCGUGUGUGGAGCUCGUGGGUAGCUUCGUGUGUGCUUGGGUGAUCAAGCUUGGUGUCAUUGCUGUGCGUUAGGUGCUGACGUACUUGGUGAAGUACUUCCGAGAAGUGGAAGAUCGAAGCCUAGACUCAGGGGGAGUUUAGCAAAGGAGGUUUCAUUGAAGAGGUCUGUGAAGAUUGCAGCUGUAGAAGACAGUGUGCUAUGGCGUGUCCGGAUGGGAUCCGUUGUAUUCCUAAUCUUUGUAGAUUGCUCCUUAGAAAAGAGUGGUAGACACUCGUGUGUGUUGUACCAUAUAGCAAUUGUAGGUUGCUCCUUGUUCUAAGUCAAUGAAAUCUAGACGAGGUCCCGGGAAUGUAGGAAACGAACCCCGUUAACAAACUUUGUGUCUAUUUUACUUUCUGCACUAGUUUCUCUGCCCUCACUAUAUUAACAGAGGUCAUGUGCCACUCCCGACGUCGAAGCUUCAACGCGCCGCCCCUAAUCGAUCAGGUUUUUCGCUUGAUGUGCCAGUCGUGGAUGUUAGAUGUGAGUUGUUAGAUGUGAGCAGUAGGAGGCACAUAUCCAGCAGACGAGUGUUUGUAGAGGUAUUGGGAAUAAAAACAAAUACGAGCAUUUCUUUCUCUCUACUCGACUUUAAGAAAUAGCUUCAGCAGGAGUCUUUCGUUUCUCUUGUGUAUGGUCUAAGGAACAGAGUGCAGAUCGACCAACCUUCUGGAUUCCAACAAUGUCUGAUUGAAAGCGGUUAACAAUGAGUCUAUGACCUAUGCGGAGAAACAAAAUAGUUAAAUAGACUAUGAAAAACUUUGCUUUCAAUUAAUGAGAAGGAACAGUUGAAGAUGAAUAAUGGUAAAUGCCUCAACUGGUCUAUACAAAAGAUGCACUCGGCAUGAAGAAUAGACUUCAAAUUAAGCGUAACUGAGCAAAGGCCUGACAUUCACUCUCAGCAUAACGUACGAGUUCUACUGGAUCUCUAUCUAUCCCCCUGAAGAGUUUGUCGUUCUUAGCCUUCUAGAUAUACCAGAUUAUCCAAGGAUAAGAAUCUCUAUCCUGUUCAGAUUUUUGCAGAUCAUCAUCGUUCGUCAGAUCUAUGUUUCCGAAAUUCAGGUAUAAGUUUGAUUCUCCUCUUUGAACUGGUGGUAUACUCGAUGGUGUUCAUGUGAAGUAUGUUGCUUUCUCACGUGAGAGCUUCCAGAAGUUAUCAAAGAGUCAGAUUUUAACUAUGAGAUGUCAAGCAUGUGAUUCCACAAAGACUUUAAUUCAAUCAGGGUGCUUAAUGUGUAUGCAUUUGGAGGGAGCGGAGUGAUUAAUAAUGUGAAUCAUUCCAACCAGCGGUUCAGGAACUUCAGCUUAUGUACGCCAAAGAAGAUUGUUUCUUUUGAAUGUAUAAUUAUGUACAAAUUGUA